ensembl:miRNA Mir6973a microRNA 6973a
GGCUCUACGGUGGGAGGGGUGGAGUUGCCAUUAGCCAAAUCUGACCUCUGGGCACUCUAACCCUACCUACCCAUCCAG